AUCCGGCAUAUCGUCCAAUCAGCAUCGACCCCAGAAGUGCCGGGGCAAAUAAUAUACUUUCAUGCGUGAGCAAAACUGAACAAGAGGUAAUAAGUGUAAACGCAUUCACCAGAGGAAUACAGACAGGACCAUACUUACGUCUGCCCUACACAACAGAGGUAUGGAUGCAGAAGGUUUCGGGGAGCUGCUGCAGCAGGCAGAGCAGCUAGCUGCCGAGACAGAAGCAGUGUCAGAGCUGCCGCAUGUUUGAGAGGAACCUCCAGGAGAUCCAGCAGGCGGGGGAGAGACUUCGAUCCCGCACCCUGACCCGCACCUCGCAAGAUGCUGCAGAUGUAAAAGCGUCAAUCCUUCUUGGUUCCAGAGGUUUAGACAUCUUCCACAUUUCUCAGAGGUUGGAAAGUCUAAGUGCUGCCACCACUUUUGAGCCCUUGGAGCCGGUCAAAGACACUGACAUACAGGUAUGAAUGACCUAAUAGGCCAUGCAUCCAGCUAGCUGCU